rnacentral:lncRNA from 1 species
AUUUAAACAGAAAAUCUGAUUUGGAGUCAUUGAGAGAGAGAGUGAAAAUCUCCCUGAUGACAUUUUUAUAGUAAUUUUUGGGAUGGAACCUCACUCAGUUCACCGCUAGUUUUUCCAGCAGUAAUACUUACAGCUGAAUUAGCAUUGUGAUUUCAACCUCCAUGCUUGCCUUCAGGCAUUAUUAUGUGUUACAUCAUCAUAAUGGUCAGAAACCCAUGCAUCCAUUGUAGGCAGGGGUCCCAUUUAGCAUCUUUUGCUACAGGACUGGAGUGUUCAGCUAGAACCUUUCCAUACUGGACCAUUGAAUAUUGAUGGUGCAGCAUUUAACCCAGCUUCUGACAGAUUAAACCACAAUGUUAUCCUUCUCCUAACACUGCUGAGGGGUUUUGUUGGACUUCUUUCCACUGACCCUUCAUGAGUUCAUGUCUCCAGCUUCUGGGACAGCAGCCAGAAAUAAUAAUGCUCAGCUUAAUAUUGUACAAAAUAAGUUUUUGAGAGGCUAGAGUAGUAAGCAGUAUUGUCCAAGAUUUAGCAGCACAAGACUAAGAAGGACUCCUAAAUUUAUAAUGUUGACAAAACAGCACAUAGGAAGUCCAGUAAUGUUCAGUUUCACUAGGCCUUUGACUGACUAAGUAAUAUAAGUCUUCUUUUUUUCUACUUAGAAGUAGCUACUUUGUUUUGGCUGCCUCUAAUCCUGUGCUUGCAGUUAUAUGGCUGAGAUUUCCACAUCUGAUAGGAGUUUUGAUGAUGUAGCAGAACGUAGUUUCAUUGAUUCCCAAGAGACCAAAUGUGCUAAUUGUAACUCCCAGUGCUUUGCCUCAAUAAAACGAAGCAUCGCACACUUACAAGGGGCCCCCUUUUGUCAGAUACCACUCCUCAGGAGACUUGGGUGCAGAUCAUUUCUUCCUCACUCUCCAUCUUUGUCUCUAUCUCUUCAUGGCCUUUCACUGUCAUGUUGGCAGUGGUAG